UAGCCCUGAAAAUGGAUGGCGCUCAAGCGUGUUACCCAUACCUCGCCGUCAGCGUUUAAGUGACGCGCUGACGAGUAGGCAGGCGUGGAGGUCAGUGAAGAAGCCUAGGCAGUGAUGCUGGGUGAAACGGCCUCUAGUGCAGAUCUUGGUGGUAGUAGCAAAUACUCAAAUGAGAACUUUGAGGACUGAAGUGGGGAAAGGUUCCGUGUGAACAGCAGUUGGACACGGGUUAGUCGAUCCUAAGCCAUAGGGAAACUCCGUUUUAAAGUG
rnacentral:rRNA from 1 species